rnacentral:misc_RNA from 1 species
GUGAAUCAUCGAAUUUUUGAACGCAAAUUGCACUCUCUUCGGAGAGUAUGCCUGUUUGAGGGUCAGCCUAAAAAAAAUCGACAGAGUUGCUGUUACGCGGUAACAUUCGUCGGAAAUUGUGUCAUCUUACACCUUUGGGUUUAAGCGGUUUAAUAUUUUCUUUACGACUCCAAUAACGUUUCUAAGAUUUUAUUUUCUUUUACGUUUAUGGUAGCGAUCUUUAUUAGUCGUUGCGGUUGC